GCCGGCUCCCCUGCCCGGCACCGAGAUGCACAGUGCAGCAAGGGCUGCCGGAGGGACUGCGGGUUGCGGCUGUGUGCGCAGACAGCGCAGCGCUGAGGAAGCCUGCACGCACGGCAGAUGGCCGGCUCAGCUUGCGACAGAUGACCAGGCAAAUGAAGGAAAGCAGAAAUUCUGAGGCCAAAGGGAUGAUAUCAGAAGACUGGCAAGGGACUGGACACAGUGCUCCAGAUGGGCUCUCACUUGAGUGGAAAAAAUCAUCUCCCUCAACCUGCUGACAACACUCUUCCCAAUGCAGCCCAGGAUAUUGUUGACCUUCGACGUGACAAGAACCUGUUGGUAGCUCACAUUAAACUUGGUGUCCACAAGGACAACAAGGUUCUUCUCAGCAAAAUUUCUUCCAGUCGCUCAGUCCCCUGUGGAUACUGGCAUGUGAGGCUAUUCCUUCCCAGGUUCCACAAUUCCAUUUGUUAAACUUCGUGAAGCUUUCUGAAACUUUCUCCAGCCUGCCAAAGUCCUUCUCCUGGUGUGGCAGCCACUCCUCCCAGUAUUGUGCUUUCUCUGCAGGUUUGCUGGUGAUAGAUACUCUGUCCAGUGUCUGUGUCAGUAGUGAAGUUAAGCAGUUAUAGGGUCAAUAUCAAUAUCUGGAUAUACUACCAAGAACUGGUUAGCCACUGGAUUUUGUACCACUAGUCACAAAAUCCCUGAGCCCAGCAGUUCAGCCAGUGUUCAGUCCACAUCAGAGAGUUUACUCCACUUACACUUCAUGGGUUUAUACAUGAGGAAGGCAUGGGACACAAUACAGAAAACCUAUUAAAAGCUGAGAUAAGUAACAGUGCUCUCCCCAAAUCCCCCAAGCCAUUCAUCCCACUGCAGAAAGCUGCCAUGUUGGUUAAGCACUGCUUUCACUUUGUGAAUCCGUGCUUACUACUAUCACUUUCUUCAAAGAAAGCUUAGAUGUGCUGUAGAGAAAAUGAAUGAGUUCUCUGUAGUACGUUUCAGCUCUGUGGUACGUCCCAGAGCUGAUUUUCUUCACAGUUGCUGGUAUAAUGCUGUGUUUUGGCAUUAAGAGAAAAACUAUGUUGACAACACACCGAUGUUUUGGUUGUUACUGCAUAGUGCCGUACAGAGCCAAGCACAUUUUAGUUUCUCCACUUCUUCUACUGUCCUGGCAGCGAGGGAUCUGGUAGGGCACAAGGAGUGGAGGGGGGACAGAACCAGGACAGCUGACCUAAACUGCCCAAAGGGGCACUCCAUGCAUAUGGCAUCAUGUGAAAACUAUAUAACUGAGGGGAGCAGCCACCGCUCAGGGCCUGGCUGAGCAUCAGUUAGCGGGUGC